rnacentral:rRNA from 1 species
AUUGAACGCUGGCGGCAGGCCUAACACAUGCAAGUCGAACGAGUGGCGGACGGGUGAGUACUGUCUGGGAAACUGCCCGAUGGAGGGGGAUAACUACUGGAAACGGUAGCUAAUACCGCAUACCAUCGGAUGUGCCCAGCUGGGAUUAGCUUGUAGGUGAGGUAACGGCUCACCUAGGCGACGAUCCCUAGCUGGUCUGAGAGGAUGACCAGCGACACUGGAACUGAGACACGAUCCAGACUCCUACGGGAGGCAGCAGUGGGGAAUAUUGCACAAUGGGCGCAAGCCUGAUGCAGCCAUGCCGCGUGUAUGAAGAAGGCCUUCGGGUUGUAAAGUACUUUCAGCGGGGAGGCGUUACCCGCAGAAGAAGCACCGGCUAACUCCGUGCCAGCAGCCGCGGUAAUAC